ACCCUCCUCUUCUUGGGGUUGCUCUGUGGUCCAAUGAGCACUUAGUGAGGGCAGUGCGACUAGCGCCCACACAACACGCCUGCAUCAGCUAGCGCUCUGCGUUAGCUUGGUGCGAUUUUUGGGAAA
rnacentral:ncRNA from 1 species